UACGGAGGGUGCAAGCGUUGCUCGGAAUUAUUGGGCGUAAAGGGCAAGUAGGUGGUCUCAUUUGUCUGGGGUGAAAGCCUUGAGCUUAACUCAAGAAGUGCCCCAGAAACGGUGAGACUGGAGUCCUGGAGAGGGUCGUGGAAUUCCCGGUGUAGCGGUGAAAUGCGUAGAGAUCGGGAGGAACACCAGAGGCGAAAGCGGCGACCUGGACAGGCACUGACACUCAACUGCGAAAGCGUGGGGAGCAAACAGG
rnacentral:rRNA from 1 species